UUUACGAUAUAAUCUCUAUAAUUCUCAGGCAGAGGCAGACUUCUCUUGAUGUUUGACAACUAAGGUGGUUAUUUAGGAGAUUUAUGUUUUAUAGUAUAUUAAUCCGAGGAUUAAACUGUCCUUAAUUAAAUUAGAGUUGAUAAGCAAAAAAGUUCUGAAAUAAUUUCAAUUUGUAUCCAACUUUUACGGCCGUAUAGACGUUCUUGUUAGCCACAACUCCAGCCUAUUUCCAGCAACCAACUAAUCGUAUCCAACAUGUCGUUCCGAGUAGCCUUAGCCAGUUUUAUUCUCAUGAUUGUCUUAGUCCAUUCCUCAUUCGCAGCCAGUCUUCUCAGAACCAGAUUUAGACUGGAUGACGGAGAUAUCAGUGCCAUAAAAGGAUCUCAACAAAAACAGUGUUUGAAUUAUAUGAACAACUGUGUGACAUCAUCAGACUGCUGUGAUGGUCUGGCCUGUACCAAUCUGGUGAAAGGAUUCUGUAAUUAUCCCUUCGAGAUUUGUGUCUGCCAACUCAAAAAAUCAGCCAAUCUAGACAGAAUGUAUGGCUAGAGACUCCGAAACUUUGAUUAUUAUUAUCACCAAAUCUCUCAUUUUGUUUCCCAGUCAUAUAAUACUGCAGAAUCUCAUACAAAUCUGUUUCGAUAUUAAAUUUAUCAACCAAAGUCGAUAAAGUUAAAAUAAAAAAAGAGUAAAUCCAUCUAUACGGUAUUAAUCUAUUUUUUUUCUGCCAACUACAAUUACAAUUUUUAAGACUAUGUCUAAGAAAUAAUUAAUUUUAUCCUAGACUUGCUUCCGGUAAUCAGCACAGAAAUAUGUAAGCCAUCUUCUAUUAAGAUAUUAAAUCGUGGAGCCACCAUUUCUUAUGGUUGACUACUCAUUUCACCGCUUAGCAACAUUUACAACUAUAGAGGAUACGGGCUCUAUACUUUAAAACCCCAUUAUCUCGCUCCCUAAAGGACUUAUACACUGAUUGUGUUUCAUUAACAGAAAUCGGGCAAUAUCUGGGAAUAUCGUGUGAUCGUUAUCUUUUGUCUUUGAAUUUUCUGUACAUUUAUUUGUUUAUUUAUUUUGAAUCAUAGUGCAACCUAUACAUUUAAGAGACAAUUUAUAUAUUGACCUAUUACUAAAUUUAGCUAGAUUUUAUAUCAACUGGUUCGACUUAAAGAUGCAUUAUGUAAGAUUUAGAUACAGAGCUGGCCGUUUUUGCUAUAAUAGUUCAAAAAUAGAUAAUGAAUAAUGAAUAUAUUGGAAAUUCAGUCAAAAUACUUUAUUCUGAGUGAUGUUAUUAGUGUUUGAAGUUUUGAGAAGAGAGUCUCAGCUGUUAAGUACUUUUACUACGAUGAUAAACGCGGCCUCUAUUUUCCAGUUUAACGUUUAAUAAAGAUAUGGCGGACAUUGUUUAAUCCACUCAAUAUAUCAGCCUCUCGGGCCUGGCAUGUGAAUAAAUGCAGAUUUUUAAACAGUCUCGGUUAUCCAUUUUAACGUUAAAUUAUUAAAUGACAAAAAUGUUCCAAUGUAUUCGAUAGCACGGUCAUCCGAUGCACUAGAGAGUCUAUUAUGGAAUUACCAUGUGAAUAAAUACAUAAUUGAUAAUAAUUUAGAUAACACAUAUUUAAGUGAACAGUGGAUGCUAUCUUUGUCGAACAUUGACAUAAAAUAUAUCAAAAAUCUGUAAUCAAUACAAGUCUUGUCUUAUUAUUUUAAAAACUUAUAAAAAGAAAAAGAUACUCAAACAAUCUAAAACUGGUGUUCCAUUCCUUACUUUUCCUGUCAAAAAAAAUGUACAUUUUAACAUAGAUGUCGAAAUAUUCUCAUUUAACAAUGUAUAUGGCUGUAUUAUUUAUUUAUUUUUUUUUUAAACUAUGAAAUACAAACUUUUGCCACCUCUGAAAUGCAUCUUCAUACGAUUUUUGUAAAAACAAUAUUUCUUAAACUCUUCAACUGUGCCAUGGUACUCUGAAUAAAUCAUUUCAUG